AUUGAACGCUGGCGGCAGGCCUAACACAUGCAAGUCGAACGAGUGGCGGACGGGUGAGUAAUGUCUGGGAAACUGCCUGAUGGAGGGGGAUAACUACUGGAAACGGUAGCUAAUACCGCAUACCAUCGGAUGUGCCCAGAUGGGAUUAGCUAGUAGGUGGGGUAACGGCUCACCUAGCGGACGAUCCCUAGCUGGUCUGAGAGGAUUACCAGCCACACGGGAACUUAGUCACGGUCCAGAUCCCUACGGAUGGCAGAAGUGGGGAAUAUUGCACAAUGGUCGCAAGCCUGAUGCAGCCAUGCCGCGUGUAUGAAGAAGGCCUUCGGGUUUUAAAGUACUUUCAGCGGGGAGGCGUUACCCGCAGAAGAAGCACCGGCUAACUCCGUGCCAGCAGCCGCGGUAAUAC
rnacentral:rRNA from 1 species